rnacentral:misc_RNA from 1 species
GCAAACUUGGUCAUUUAGAGGAAGUAAAAGUCGUAACAAGGUUUCCGUAGGUGAACCUGCGGAAGGAUCAUUACCAAUCUUAGUGAGCCUGGAUUCGUUCACGGUCUCACGAAAUCUUGUAUUUAAAACCCGAUCAUAUAAAUAAAAACAUGUAGUAAUAUGAUAAUUAAAGACCACUUUCAACAACGGAUCUCUUGGCUCUCUCAGAUGUGUAUAAGAGACAGGCAAACUUGGUCAUUUAGAGGAAGUAAAAGUCGUAACAAGGUUUCCGUAGGUGAACCUGCGGAAGGAUCAUUACCAAUCUUAGUGAGCCUGGAUUCGUUCACGGUCUCACGAAAUCUUGUAUUUAAAACCCGAUCAUAUAAAUAAAAACAUGUAGUAAUAUGAUAAUUAAAGACCACUUUCAACAACGGAUCUCUUGGCUCUCGCAUCGAUGAAGAACGCAGC